GAUGAACGCUGGCGGCGUGCCUAAUACAUGCAAGUCGAGCGAACAGACGAGGAGCUUGCUCCUCUGACGUUAGCGGCGGACGGGUGAGUAACACGUGGAUAACCUACCUAUAAGACUGGGAUAACUUCGGGAAACCGGAGCUAAUACCGGAUAAUAUAUUGAACCGCAUGGUUCAAUAGUGAAAGACGGUUUUGCUUUCACUUAUAGAUGGCUCCGCGCCGCAUUAGCUAGUUGGUAAGGUAACGGCCUACCAAGGCAACGAUGCGUAGCCGACCUGAGGGGGUGAUCGGCCACACUGGAACUAAAAACCGGCCCAGACUCCUACGGGAGGAGGAGGAGGGGAAUCUUCCGCAAUGGGGGAAGUCCUGACGGAGCAACGCCGCGUGGGUGAUGAAGGUCUUCGGAUCGUAAAACUCUGUUAUUAGGGAAGAACAAAUGUGUAAGUAACUAUGCACGUCUUGACGGUACCUAAUCAGAAAGCCACGGCUAACUACGUG
rnacentral:rRNA from 1 species